GGAGAUCGGUAUUCUAUCGCCUUAUAUUGAAGAAUAUAGGGAGGAAAGUCCGGACAACAUCGGGCAUUGCACCACCUAACGGGUGGAGGCUCUCAGGAGUUAUAGAAAGUGUUACAGAAAAUUACCGCCUUAUUCUAUAGGGUAAGGGUGAAAAUGUGUGGUAAGAGCACACGCGGGAUUGUAGCAAUACACUUCCGGAAUAAACCUUGCAAGUUGAAAUGCCAAAUAAAUCCGCUGACCUCUGGUCAUUACGCCCGUAAAUGCUUUAUUGCAAGCGGAAGGGUAGGCAGAUAGAGUUCAUGAGUGAUCAUGAUCCCAGAUAAAUGAUAGAAGCUUCUUAGGAAGAACAGAAUCCGGCUUAUUCCGAUCUCAUUUU
rnacentral:RNase_P_RNA from 1 species